rnacentral:rRNA from 1 species
GACGAACGCUGGCGGCGUGCUUAACACAUGCAAGUCGAACGGUGAAGGGACUGGUUUUGCUGGUCCUGGAUGGGUGGCGAACGGGUGAGUAACACGUGAGUAACCUGCCCCCUUCUUCUGGAUAACCGCAUGAAAGUGUGGCUAAUACGGGAUAUUCUGGGUCUGUCGCAUGGUGGGCCUGGGAAAGAUUGCGCCUUUUUUGGUGUUUUUGGUGGGGGAUGGGCUCGCGGCCUAUCAGCUUGUUGGUGGGGUGAUGGCCUACCAAGGCGGUGACGGGUAGCCGGCCUGAGAGGGUGGACGGUCACACUGGGACUGAGACACGGCCCAGACUCCUACGGGAGGCAGCAGUGGGGAAUAUUGCACAAUGGGCGCAAGCCUGAUGCAGCGACGCCGCGUGAGGGAUGGAGGCCUUCGGGUUGUGAACCUCUUUCGCCAGUGAAGCAGGCCUGCCUCUUUUUGUGGGUGGGUUGACGGUAGCUGGAUAAGAAGCGCCGGCUAACUACGUG